rnacentral:rRNA from 1 species
AGGCCUAACACAUGCAAGUCGAACGGUAACAGGAAACAGCUUGCUGUUUCGCUGACGAGUGGCGGACGGGUGAGUAAUGUCUGGGAAACUGCCUGAUGGAGGGGGAUAACUACUGGAAACGGUAGCUAAUACCGCAUAACGUCGCAAGACCAAAGAGGGGGACCCUCGGGCCUCUUGCCAUCGGAUGUGCCCAGAUGGGAUUAGCUUGUUGGUGGGGUAACGGCUCACCAAGGCGACGAUCCCUAGCUGGUCUGAGAGGAUGACCAGCCACACUGGAACUGAGACACGGUCCAGACUCCUACGGGAGGCAGCAGUGGGGAAUAUUGCACAAUGGGCGCAAGCCUGAUGCAGCCAUGCCGCGUGUAUGAAGAAGGCCUUCGGGUUGUAAAGUACUUUCACCGGGGGAGGAAGGGAGUAAAGUUAAUACCUUUGCUCAUUGACGUUACCCGCAGAAAAAGCACCGGCUAACUCCGUUGCCAA